AGGACGAACGCUGGCGGCGUGCUUAACACAUGCAAGUCGAACGGUGACGCUGGAGCUUGCUCCAGCUGAUCAGUGGCGAACGGGUGAGUAACACGUGAGCAACCUACCCUUGACUCUGGGAUAACCCCGGGAAACCGGAGCUAAUACCGGAUAUGAACCGCACGGGCAUCUACGCGGUUGGAAAGAUUUAUCGGUCAAGGAUGGGCUCGCGGCCUAUCAGCUUGUUGGUGGGUAAUGGCCCACCAAGGCGACGACGGGUA
rnacentral:rRNA from 1 species